GAUGAACGCUGGCGGCGUGCCUAAUACAUGCAAGUCGAGCGAACGGACGAGAAGCUUGCUUCUCUGAUGUUAGCGGCGGACGGGUGAGUAACACGUGGAUAACCUACCUAUAAGACUGGGAUAACUUCGGGAAACCGGAGCUAAUACCGGAUAACAUGUUGAACCGCAUGGUUCAACAGUGAAAGACGGUUUUGCUGUCACUUAUAGAUGGAUCCGCGCCGCAUUAGCUAGUUGGUAAGGUAACGGCUUACCAAGGCAACGAUGCGUAGCCGACCUGAGAGGGUGAUCGGCCACACUGGAACUGAGACACGGUCCAGACUCCUACGGGAGGCAGCAGUAGGGAAUCUUCCGCAAUGGGCGAAAGCCUGACGGAGCAACGCCGCGUGAGUGAAGAAGGUCUUCGGAUCGUAAAACUCUGUUAUCAGGGAAGAACAAAUGUGUAAGUAACUGUGCACAUCUUGACGGUACCUAAUCAGAAAGCCACGGCUAACUACGUGCCAGCAGCCGCGGUAAUACGUAGGUGGCAAGCGUUAUCCGGAAUUAUUGGGCGUAAAGCGCGCGUAGGCGGUUUUUUAAGUCUGAUGUGAAAGCCCACGGCUCAACCGUGGAGGGUCAUUGGAAACUGGAAAACUUGAGUGCAGAAGAGGAAAGUGGAAUUCCAUGUGUAGCGGUGAAAUGCGCAGAGAUAUGGAGGAACACCAGUGGCGAAGGCGACUUUCUGGUCUGUAACUGACGCUGAUGUGCGAAAGCGUGGGGAUCAAACAGGAUUAGAUACCCUGGUAGUCCACGCCGUAAACGAUGAGUGCUAAGUGUUAGGGGGUUUCCGCCCCUUAGUGCUGCAGCUAACGCAUUAAGCACUCCGCCUGGGGAGUACGACCGCAAGGUUGAAACUCAAAGGAAUUGACGGGGACCCGCACAAGCGGUGGAGCAUGUGGUUUAAUUCGAAGCAACGCGAAGAACCUUACCAAAUCUUGACAUCCUUUGACAACUCUAGAGAUAGAGCCUUCCCCUUCGGGGGACAAAGUGACAGGUGGUGCAUGGUUGUCGUCAGCUCGUGUCGUGAGAUGUUGGGUUAAGUCCCGCAACGAGCGCAACCCUUAAGCUUAGUUGCCAUCAUUAAGUUGGGCACUCUAAGUUGACUGCCGGUGACAAACCGGAGGAAGGUGGGGAUGACGUCAAAUCAUCAUGCCCCUUAUGAUUUGGGCUACACACGUGCUACAAUGGACAAUACAAAGGGCAGCAAAACCGCGAGGUCAAGCAAAUCCCAUAAAGUUGUUCUCAGUUCGGAUUGUAGUCUGCAACUCGACUACAUGAAGCUGGAAUCGCUAGUAAUCGUAGAUCAGCAUGCUACGGUGAAUACGUUCCCGGGUCU
rnacentral:rRNA from 1 species